AGUGAACGCUGGCGGCGUGCUUAACACAUGCAAGUCGAACGAGAACGGAUUAUAGCUUGCUAUAAUUGUCAGCUAAGUGGCGCACGGGUGAGUAAUGUAUAGGUAAUAUGCCUCUUACUAAGGGAUAACAAAUGGAAACGUUUGCUAAUACCUUAUACUCCUUAUUAACAGAAGUUAAUAAGGGAAAGAUUUAUUGGUAAGAGAUUAGCCUGUAUUGUAUCAGUUAGUUGGUGGGGUAAUGGCUUACCAAGACUAUGACACAUAACUGGUUUGAGAGGAUGAUCAGUCACACUGGAACUGAGACACGGUCCAGGCUCCUACGGGAGGCAGCAGUGGGGAAUAUUGCACAAUGGGCGAAAGUCUGAUGCAGCAACGCCGCGUGGAGGAUGACACAUUUCGGUGCGUAAGCUCCUUUUAUAUGAGAAGAUAAUGACGGUAUUAUAUGAAUAAGCACCGGCUAACUCCGUGCCAGCAGCCGCCGUAACAC
rnacentral:rRNA from 1 species